GGAGAGAUGGCUGAGUGGUUGAAAGCACCGGUCUUGAAAACCGGCAGGCCUUUGCGGGUCUCGGGGGUUCGAAUCCCCCUCUCUCCGCCA
rnacentral:tRNA from 1 species